rnacentral:rRNA from 1 species
GACAGAGGAUGCAAGCGUUAUCCGGAAUGAUUGGGCGUAAAGCGUCUGUAGGUGGCUUUUUAAGUCCGCCGUCAAAUCCCAGGGCUCAACCCUGGACAGGCGGUGGAAACUACCAAGCUGGAGUACGGUAGGGGCAGAGGGAAUUUCCGGUGGAGCGGUGAAAUGCGUAGAGAUGUGGAGGAACACCGAUGGCGAAGGCAGCCCCCUGGGUCAAGAUUGACGCUCAUGCACCGAAAGCGUGGGGAGCAAACGAAGG